rnacentral:lncRNA from 1 species
UGAGUGCACGCAUUCUCAAGAUGCUCGGCGUUGAUACAGAUGCGAGCACCAGCGGGUCUCCGAGGAAUUCCCUAGACGAGUGGUUUAAAGGGCAGAAACUUCCUGGGCCCGACUUUGAGGAACUGAAAGAGCCACUCGGAGUCCAAGUCACAUUCUCUGCCCCUUUCUCCUGUUCAAGUCCAGACUGGAAGGACACCUGGGCCCAUGCCGAGAGAAGCCUGGUUCAGGAGCUGAGCGCACGCUUCACCUGGAACAAAGAGGAAGGAACAGCAGGAAGUGGCAGCUCAAGUCUGUAAACAGCACAGUACUAGCUGUGCUAAGAUCUUAGCUAAGUGCUAAGAUCCUAGCUGUGCUAGUAUUAGCUGUGCUAAGAUCUAAGCUAAGUGCUAAGAUCCUAGCUGUGCAUGGCUCUGGGGCCUAACAUGAAAUGUUCGUUUUUUACGGUAUGAUUUUGCAGGAAACCAGUUUUUUAUAAGAUCCUCAAAUUAAUUUGGGUUGAUAGACACAUCUGACACUUCCCCAAGCUGUCCAGGCUAAUCACUGUCUAGUGCUGUGCUGUUGGUGUUCACGUGGAAAGUCUGUUGCCUUUUAGCUAGUUUUAGAGAGCUAGUUUAGAGCUAGGUCUCUAUUGCUCGUAGCUUGAUUGUUCUCGCCUUUGUACGUUGCUUUGGAUAAAAGCGUCUGCUAAAUUACUAAAUGUAGUUAACUUAAAGGUCCUUACUCCUCGUUUAACAUGAAUAAUACAGAGCUGCUGGUCUGGGGUGCAUUUCCCAAAGGCAUUGUUGAGCAAAGACCAUGGUUACUGGGAGAGGGAGAGGGAGAGAGAGAGAGAGAGAGAGAGAGAGAAUUUGAAUUUUAUAAAAAACUUUUUAUUAGGUAAACAGCAUUGCAAACAGUGUUUUACACAUU